AGAGUUUGAUCAUGGCUCAGAAUCAACGCUGGCGGCGUGCCUCAGACAUGCAAGUCGAACGCGAAAGGCCCCUUCGGGGGCCGAGUAGAGUGGCGCACGGGUGAGUAACACGUAGGUAAUCUACCUCUGGGUGGGGAAUAACAGCCGGAAACGGCUGCUAAUACCGCAUAACGCAGCGGCACCACAUGGUGACAGUUGUUAAAGCGGGGGAACUUCGGUCCUCGCGCCUGGAGAGGAGCCUGCGGCGGAUUAGCUAGUUGGCAGGGUAACGGCCUACCAAGGCUUCGAUCCGUAGCCGGCCUGAGAGGGCGGUCGGCCACACUGGCACUGACAUACGGGCCAGACUCCUACGGGAGGCAGCAGUCGGGAAUUUUGGGCAAUGGGCGAAAGCCUGACCCAGCAACGCCGCGUGGAGGAUGAAGUUUUUCGGAAUGUAAACUCCGUAAGAAUGGGAAGAAUAAGGAGGGGUUAAUACCCCCUUCGAUGACGGUACCAUUCGUAAGCUCCGGCUAACUCCGUGCCAGCAGCCGCGGUAAUACGGGGGGAGCAAGCGUUGUUCGGAUUUACUGGGCGUAAAGGGCGCGUAGGCGGCGCAACAAGUCACUUGUGAAAUCUCCGGGCUUAACUCGGAGCGGCCAAGUGAUACUGUCGUGCUAGAGUGCGGAAGGGGCUACUGGAAUUCUCGGUGUAGCGGUGAAAUGCGUAGAUAUCGAGAGGAACACCUGCGGCGAAGGCGGGUAGCUGGGCCGACACUGACGCUGAGGCGCGAAAGCUAGGGGAGCGAACGGGAUUAGAUACCCCAGUAGUCC
rnacentral:rRNA from 1 species